GACGAACGCUGGCGGCGUGCUUAACACAUGCAAGUCGAACGGAAAGGCCCUGCUUGCAGGGUACUCGAGUGGCGAACGGGUGAGUAACACGUGGGUGAUCUGCCCUGCACUUCGGGAUAAGCCUGGGAAACUGGGUCUAAUACCGGAUAGGAGCCAUUUUUAGUGUGAUGGUUGGAAAGUUUUUUCGGUGCAGGAUGAGCUCGCGGCCUAUCAGCUUGUUGGUGGGGUAAUGGCCUACCAAGGCGGCGACGGGUAGCCGGCCUGAGAGGGUGGACGGCCACAUUGGGACUGAGAUACGGCCCAGACUCCUACGGGAGGCAGCAGUGGGGAAUAUUGCACAAUGGGCGCAAGCCUGAUGCAGCGACGCCGCGUGGGGGAUGACGGCCUUCGGGUUGUAAACUCCUUUCGCUAGGGACGAAGCUUUUUGUGACGGUACCUAGAGAAGAAGCACCGGCUAACUACGUG
rnacentral:rRNA from 1 species